ACCAGCUCCACCCGCAGUUUCUUCACAAAAUUUCUUAUCUUGGGGACCGUCGAUGCGCAAAGUUAAAUUAAAAUGCUGGCAGGACAUUCGUUGAAUUAUUCAGUAACUUUGUGGCAAACUCUUUCGCUUUUUAUUUUGCGUCCAGUUGCCUUCGUCGAAGACAAAUGUAAAUUUUCUUCCGUCAUUUUAGCGACAUCUGUUUUGAUGUCUUUGAGGGAUUCGGCGUUGAACAAGCCAAGUGAAGUUCGUUAGGUAAUUAAAAAACAAGGGGAGUUGCAAAAUAUUGUGUUUUUAUGUACUCAGAAUGCUUUAAACAAAUAUUUUAAUGUAAACGAGAGGUUGGCAAUUUUUUGACGUAACCACUCAGUAAAUAUCGUUUACAACCUUAAGUAAACUGCGCAAGGUGUAAAUAAUUUAUCAGACUGUUUGGUGGAUGGUUGCUGAAGCUAUAACUUACUAAAUGUUUGAAAGGGGAGAGGAGCAUUUUUGUUUCGCUUCAAACCGUUUAACUUAAAUUGUCUUAAAUUUCAACAGGCUGUCGCCGAAGAGCCCGUCGGCCACAGUGGUCAUAAAAAAUGAAUGCGGUUAACUUGACUCCAAUCCGGAGAGUGGCUGGGAAUGGGACUACGACCACCCAGCUCCAGACUGACGCAGCUGGCGAAGGCCAGAAAGUCAAGCAGUUGGCUUUUCACUUUGCUCACAGCUCCAACUCGGUGCGUCCUGGGGGCAUAAUUUCCCAAUUGCAGGCUCAUGUGCCGCACACACAAACGGGAAACGGGAAACGGAAAACGGGAAAUCCCUUUAGCCAUCUCUCAGCAACUCUCCGGCUCCGGGAUUCCCACUUCAAUCAAGCACAAUGGGCCGUUGAAUCGCUUAAGCGCCGCAUUUCCUUAACUCCCUCUCCCCCUCCAUGAAACACUCACUGCCACAUAAAACAACACUUGGCCACGGUCAGUUACCAGUUACGCACGGGCCACGCCCACGAAACGCCUCCAUGCAGACUUGCCCCACUUGUUAUUUAUAUUAUGACCACUCACAGUUGUUGGCUCAUUGUCAUAAAUUUUCCCCAGUGUUUGCCGUGCGGCCCAUCCGGAAAAGUGAGAGUGGAAUGGCGAAGAAAAGAUUUCCUUGGCCUUGUGCGAAAUGCUUGUUGUUUGUUUGUUUGUCUUUGUUGACGUAUCCCAAGCUCCCGAGGGUCAUUGUAGCCAAACAAUGGCAGCCUCUUGGCCAAUUUAAUAGAUUCCAUAAAUGGUUCAUGUUCGGCUACCAUUGAUGAAUGCAGCCUGUUAGUAGUCUUUGCAGUGUUUACGGUAUUUCGAAGUCAACGAGUCAAGUUGUUCGUGGUAUCAGAGUGCGUAUCUCUAGCCGAAGAGCCAAUUCGUUUUGAUGCCGCAUUUAUAAGCACCAAUUUCAGCAUAGUCGUCGGAAAAGAGUUUGCUUUUUAAUUACUCCCCAGGCGCAAUGUGCUAGCCCAUAUUCGUUUUGCACCUCGCCGAGAAAGUUUUCAACACGCCCGAAUGGAAGUUUGAGGUGCUCCAUUUGAAUUCAUGUUAAGGCAACCACUAAGCGCAUAAUCUUGUAAACUUGGCCAAAAUUCUCCAAAUGCCAUAACUAAAAUAAGCAAGCAGCCAAGGAUGCUCAGCGAAGGGAGUGAAACAUAUUAUGCCCGAGGGCACAGCCAGAUUCUGAGCAUGGCUUCUUUGCCAAACUUUUUGCAAUGGUAAUGGUACUGGAUCUGGUCUCGGUUCUGGUGCAAGUGCUUGAUGCAAAUUAUUUGGCCUGGAGGUUAACUAGGGUCGUUUAGCAAAUGCCUAACCCACAAAAAGAGGCAGCAGCAGUAGAGAUGAUCUCGUGAUGGAGAACUUUAAUUAGGAAACUAUAACUGGGAUAUUAAAGAUAUAAACACUAACGGGAUGAGACUCAAAUUUGUUGUAUGAAUAAAAUAGAUAUUAUUUACUUCAAGAGAAAACUAAAUGGCUUACUAUCGAAUGACCAUAAUCUUUUCUAUAUUUAAGAGUUAUCUAAGCAUACAUUUGUAGAUAUGUAAAGGCUUACUCCUUUCCUCUUGCAUCUAACAUCUUGAACCCAUUCAUUUAAACACAAGUUAAUUUUGUUAAUUAAACACUCAUCUUUCGUGACUUUCUCUACGCGGUUCGUGACUCUUCGUUCACGAUGUCAUCCUUAGAGCCACAGUCUUUUUAUGAGCCCUGCAUGCAUUGGCAUUCAUGAGAGUGAGCCCAGUAUUUUUGUGAGCCCAACGAGUGGGUGGUGCCUGGGCGGACCGGAGGGCUUACCACAGUCUGAGCUGCAUCUCCGAGCCCAACAACAAUGGCAGGUACAAUAAAUGCCUUUCAACGGCGGUUUCACAUGCACUUGAAGUGAAGUGGCGGCGAAAGGGGGGAGCUGCCAGGGAGUUGACUUGGGGUCAGGGUGCACGGGCUUGGUGGGGCUGUGAGGAAACUGCGAGGAACAUGUGAGGAACUGGAAGUGGAAGUGGAACUGGUCUGGUGGCAGUGUCAUAAGCCUCAAGUGCUAUUUGCAGUGAAGUGCAGCAUACAUGAUGGUUGGGGUGUCGCCUUCAUCUGCUCUGCCCCAAAUCCGCAUCUUACUUGUUCAGCUCUGUGCUGGUCUGGUCCUAAUGAAACUUUAUCCCCGGAGUGCUAAAUGUCUGGCCAGAUGGCCAAGCUCUACCAAAAGUCCCAGCAUUCUUGCACUUUACCCAACUAUGUUUCGGUAUCUGAACUGGGUUAUUACCAGCAUCUGUAUCCGCAUUCUUAUUUUCCAUUUCGAAAAUGGAAUGUGAAGGACACACAUUUCAGAACUACUUCAGUUGGUCAUAGUUGCACACAUCCAUAUGCGGAUAAAUCUUUCUAAAAGCUCGAGUAACUCAAUCCUUCAAUUGAGCACUUCAAUUCGUACAAUUACCUAAUUGUUCUGCUUCUGAGUUUUAAUGCAACAACAAUAUUUACGCACUGCUGGCUUUUCGAAGGGCGAAUCGGAGAAAACAACACCUGCAAUUAGUUUUCAAUUGAAGUGGGUGGCAGAGAAAUGGGAUCCUCUGGCAAAGAAUUCUCGGUAAAUUGGCUGAAACCUGGUAGCUUCACUCUCGAUUUGUGCCAAGGUACUGCGUUGCCGGAUUCUAAUUAAGAUUGAUGUGUUUAUGGUGUAGCCAACAUUUGACUUUGCCCAACCAAAAGCUCGACAGGAGCUGGAGUGGCGUUCGUGUCUAGGAGUCCCAGUCACAGUUCGAUUUCGAUUUCCACUUUCCGCAGUUUGGCAUUUCCUGCUCCUUUGUAAUUAUUGAUGAGCUCCGCUUUGACUUUCGACUUUUUCAAGUGUAUUAACGUAAUUAGCUAGCCAUCGAAAACGUUAAGCGAUUGCUACUGCUCCAUUAAAUUCGCUGCACUUAAAGCUCAAUUGUGGGGCAUCAAUCGCUUGACUCCGCCCCGUGCUCCUUCUGUUUUUCGUCCGUCUAGUCAAUCAAAAUGUCAUGAAAGUCUGGCAGUCGAUGAACUGAUUGACAAGCAGGAGAAAAAGGAUACCUAUGCUCCACUGACCCAUGGCGCUGUGCGGUGCAGGUGCGCAUGCAAAUUUCAGGCAGUGUCCGGCGGUUGGUCUGUGUCUGGAAUUCCAUGGCUUGUGUGGUUAGCCACAAGGCCAGGAAUUCUGGCCGUCUGCUGGGCUCCCAGGUGUCUAUUGGCUACCAGAAACCACUCACCUUAAAUUGGUCUUUAUGGGGGCGAGGUAAAAAGUCAGAUGGGUCAUUUAAAUUACCAAAAGAAUUCGUUUAAAACUACAAGUUUGAUCAAAUAGGUCUGGAAAUCCAUGUCUAUAUAUAUGCAUUCAAGCCAUAAAUAUCUUUCGAAUUCCUACUUCAACUUCUGUAAUCGUAAUUCCAUUUGAAAUCACAGCCAUUGUCUAGCACAAUGGGUUUUCCCACAAUGUAAUGCCAGCACAACAUCAUCCACGUCUACCACCUCAUCAUCCCCAACCCCAUCCCCAUCCACAUCAUCAAAAUCAUCUAUAAAAACAAUCGAAGCCAGGCAGCAGCAAUUGCCGAACCGAAGGCAACUCCAUUUUCCCCGUCUUUUCCGCGCUGGCAAGUUCAUCAAACCGAGCAGGAAAACAGCAAAUAAAGCGAGAGACUGGGGCGUGGGGAAACUCGGGGCAACUGCUGGAAUCUGGUGGAGACUGCUGGAAACUGGUGGAAACUGGUGGAAACUGUGGGCCGUACAUGUGGUCGUUAUUGUUAUUGCUUUUCGCCAGUGGAAGCCCUUGCUCCAGCCUCAAAUGCAGGAUGCGCCUGAAAAAAACUCACGUAAUUUUGGAGCUGCUUUUUUUUUGUGGGUGUUGUUUUUGUUUUUGGCCCCUUGCUGGAAACCUCUUCAUCAUCAAAAAACAUGAGAGGCACCAUGGCCAUAGAUCCAUGCAAAAUUAACAUAGACAAAAGGCGCCGAAGGGGAGAUAGUGAAAGGAGAUGAGUCCUGCACAAAAUUUGCACCCACCAUGUGCGGCAAAUGAAUGGGAAUGUUUCUCGGAAAGCUGGGAAGGUCAGUCGGAGGCCAGAAUUCAUGAAUUUCUGUUCCUCGAAAAGGCUUCUGCUAAUGCAGAAGUCGAAAAAUAGGUUUCUAAGCUAGCAUUCUCUUUAAAAACUUUGAAAAUAAUUUGUUUAAUUUAAUUAGAUAUUAACGUAAUACUGGA